AGAAAAGGCGGCGCGAGAAAAAAAGCGGCGCGAACGGCGGCGCGCGAGGGAGGGCGGGAAGGGGAAAGAAAGAAGGAGGAGACUCCGCUUCUUUCCCCUUCCCGCCCUCCCUCGCGCGCCACCUUUUUUCUCACGCACCUUUCCCCUUCCCGCCCUCCCUCGCGCGCCCCCCUUUUUUCUCACGCACCGCCUUUUUUCUCGCGCGCCGCCUUUUUUUCU